AAAGACUAUACAUGGACUGACCCUGGACUCUGACCUCAUAGGUAUCAGGUCAACUUUUAAAUGAGAGUUUUGCACUGUCAUACCUCAUUACACCUGAAUAUGGUGGGAUAAAGCAAACACGACUGAGACAUAAAGAGGAACAUCGUUGUCAUGAAGAAGAAAUGAUCCGACACAGAGAACUGGAGGGACUGAGGCGACAGCAGGAGGGUUUUAAACCACACUCUAUGGAACAUUGAGAACAGGACAUGAAGAUGCAUGAUAUGGGUCCCCGUGGAGCAAUAAACAUGGGAGAUGCAUUCAGCAGAGCACUUGCUGGUACCCAAGGAUGGCUCCUCCAAUGAUGGGUCUUGUACAGGUAACCACAGCUACUGCAAGUAUCAAAAUAAAAAGCCAAGCCAGAGGUGUAGCUCAGUGAUACGGCAUUUUCUACCAUACUCAGAACUGUAGGUGAGUCCCAGGACUCCACAUCCAAAUAUUUCUACAGCCUCCCCAAAUGGUGACACCAAAUGGAGAACAAGUAUUCAAAUAAAAAUAUCUAUGGGGGAUAUUUCUCAUUCAAGCUAUCACAGAUGGAAAGAGCUUGUAUUGUUUUUGGAGUUACUAGGGCUUCCCAAUGAAAACACACAAGGUAAAGUCACACAACUGGCAACAGAGCUUUUUAUUAAAAUCCAAGAAUUCUAGAACGACCCUUUCCCUGGACUGUAAACUUUUCCUUUAAAAUUAACUUAGCUUACAAGAGUUGAAUUCUAUGUGAGUUUUUCCUACUCCCUUAAUUUUACUUAAUGCUCCUCCUUACCCUUUUAUCUGUCCCCAAGCAACUUGUAAAUUGCUUUUGGUACAAUAAUCAUUUACACAAUAUGAAUUCUAUCAAUCCAUGAUCAUGGUGUUGCUCUCUGACUUCUACUGUCUUCCUCCUUUCUCUGGCUUUUUCCAAGUUUUACUUACAGGGGUCUUUCCCCUACUUUGUUAGGCUUAUUCUAGAGUACAUUUUUGAGGAGAAGGUAAGUGGGAUUAAUUUCCUUACUUUUUACUCAGUGUGCUUGCCACUGAUAUACAGAAAGCUACUUAUUUUUGUAUGUGAAUUUUCAUUCUAUGACUUUGCUGACCAGAUUAUCCAAUUCUAGGAGGAUUAUUGUUCUGUUUUAUUGAUGGAGUAUUUAGGGUCUCUUCCAUACAGCAUAAUAUUUGCUACAAAAAGAAAUCCUUUCAUUUAUUCAUUUCCUUUUUGUAUAGACUUCAUUGAAUUUUUUCAUAACUGUGCAAAAAAAAAAAGAAUAAAGCCCCCCCACUCACUCACACAAAUAAUCAAGCAUUACAUUAUACAGAGAAUUUUGUCUUGCUAUUAUCUAAUAAUAGUUUUAUAUUAAUUACUAUUCUAUUUUUGUGACAAAAUGCUAUAGCCAAUGAAAUUUACCAAAGAAAGUGUUCAAUUAGUCUUGCAGUAUCAUAGAAUUAGCGUCCAGGUUGGUAGAACAAAGGCAUGAAAGGCGUGGUAGCAGGACUAGCUAAGAGCUUAAAUCCAUAAGCGGGAGUAGGAGAACGAUCAACUGGGAAUGUUAUGAGUCUUUUGAAUCCUCAAAGCUCAGCCUCAGUGACACACAACUCAAAAAAGGCCACACCACCUAAUCCUUAAACAACUCUACCAAAUGCAAACUAAUAUUUCAAAAUUAUGAGUAUAUAAUGGCCAUUCUUACAUCAACCACCACAGGCUUGGUUUCUCCAUUUAGCAUGAUGCUGGCUAUGAGAUCUUUGUCUAUAGCCUUUAUUGUGUUAAUAUAUUUUCAGUCCGCCAUUUUGUUCUCUAGUUCUUUUCCCAAGAACCAAUUCUUUUGUAGAUGAAUUUUUCUCUAUGUAGGUUUCCAUAUGAUUUUUGUCUGUAUGUUCUUUUACAUUUUUUGUUUCAUUUCUCCGUGUGCUUAUGUUGAAGCAUCUACACUUGGGGUAGAAUAAAUUAGAUCAUGGAGAAUGGUCUUGAUCUGUGUCUGUUAUCGGUUUGCAUGUUCAUUUUUUUCAGAAAAAAUUUGCAUCAGUGUUCACUAAUAAUAUCAAUCUGUAAUUCUCUUUUAUUGUUUCUUUGUCAGAUUUUGUCUUAUAAUAUAUUGGCCUGUAGAAGAAGUUUGAGAUUGAUUAUUUUUGGAAAAUUAUUUUAAGAUGUUUUGGUUGUAGAUCAAAAACGUUUUGUAGAAUUUUUUAAGUCCAU
rnacentral:sRNA from 1 species